UGAUCCUGGCUCAGGAUGAACGCUAGCUACAGGCUUAACACAUGCAAGUCGAGGGGCAGCGGGAAGUUAGCUUGCUAACUUUGCCGGCGACCGGCGCACGGGUGAGUAACGCGUAUCCAACCUUCCCCUUAGUAGGGCAUAGCCCGGCGAAAGUCGGAUUAAUACCCUAUGUUAUCCGAAGAGGACAUCUGAAUUGGAUUAAAGAUUCAUCGCUAAGGGAUGGGGAUGCGUCUGAUUAGGUAGUAGGCGGGUAACGGCCCACCUAGCCUACGAUCAGUAGGGGUUCUGAGAGGAAGGUCCCCCACAUUGGAACUGAGACACGGUCCAAACUCCUACGGGAGGCAGCAGUGAGGAAUAUUGGUCAAUGGGCGCGAGCCUGAACCAGCCAAGUAGCGUGCAGGAUGACGGCCCUAUGGGUUGUAAACUGCUUUUAUACAGGGAUAAAGUGCACCACGUGUGGUGUUUUGUAGGUACUGUAUGAAUAAGGACCGGCUAAUUCCGUGCC
rnacentral:rRNA from 1 species